rnacentral:misc_RNA from 1 species
UACGGAGGGUGCAAGCGUUAAUCGGAAUUACUGGGCGUAAAGGGUACGUAGGCGGCUAUUUAAGUCGGAUGUGAAAGCCCCGGGCUCAACCUGGGAAUUGCAUUCGAUACUGGAUAGCUCGAGUCUGGCAGAGGCUGGCGGAAUUCCCGGUGUAGCGGUGAAAUGCGUAGAUAUCGGGAGGAACAUCAGUGGCGAAGGCGGCCGGCUGGGUCAAGACUGACGCUGAGGUACGAAAGCGUGGGGAGCAAACAGG